GCGGGUUUAGCUCAGUUGGGAGAGCGUCAGACUGAAGUCAACUUUGGUAAUUUACAAUCUGAAGGUCAUGUGUUCGAUCCACAUAAACCGCA
rfam:Podospora anserina genomic DNA, chromosome 7.